UACGAAGGGGGCUAGCGUUGCUCGGAAUCACUGGGCGUAAAGGGCGCGUAGGCGGCCGAUCAAGUCGGAGGUGAAAUCCCUCGGCUCAACUGAGGAAUUGCCUUCGAUACUGUUCGGCUUGAGUACGGUAGAGGAGGGUGGAAUUCCCAGUGUAGCGGUGAAAUGCGUAGAUAUUGGGAGGAACACCAGUGGCGAAGGCGGCUCACUGGCCCGGUACUGACGCUGAGGUGCGAAAGCGUGGGGAGCAAACAGG
rnacentral:rRNA from 1 species